rnacentral:rRNA from 1 species
CCUACGGGAGGCAGCAGUGGGGAAUAUUGCACAAUGGGGGAAACCCUGAUGCAGCGACGCCGCGUGAGUGAGGAAGUAUUUCGGUAUGUAAAGCUCUAUCAGCAGGGAAGAAAAUGACGGUCCCUAACUAAAAAGCCCCGGCUACCUCCGUGCCAGCAGCCGCGGUAAUACGGAGGGGGCAAGCGUUACCCGGAUUUACUGGGCGUAAAGGGGGCGUAGACGGCUAAUCAAGUCAGAGGUGAAAACCCGGGGCUCAACCUUGGAAGUGCAUGUGAAACUGGGAAGCUAGAGUGCAGGAGAGGUAAGCGGAAUUCCUAGUGUAGCGGUGAAAUGCGUAGAUAUCAGGAGGAACACCAGUGGCGAAGGCGGCUUACUGGACUGUAACUGACGUUGAGGCUCGAAAGCGUGGGGAGCAAACAGGAUUAGAUACCCUAGUAGUC